rnacentral:rRNA from 1 species
CGUGCGGUUCUAUUUUGUUGGUUUCUAGGACCGCCGUAAUGAUUAAUAGGGACAGUCGGGGGCAUCAGUAUUCAAUUGUCAGAGGUGAAAUUCUUGGAUUUAUUGAAGACUAACUACUGCGAAAGCAUUUGCCAAGGAUGUUUUCAUUAAUCAGGAACGAAAGUUAGGGGAUCGAAGACGAUCAGAUACCGUCGUAGUCUUAACCAUAAACUAUGCCGACUAGGGAUCGGACGAUGUUAUUUAGUUGACUCGUUCGGCACCUUACGAGAAAUCAAAGUGCUUGGGCUCCAGGGGGAGUAUGGUCGCAAGGCUGAAACUUAAAGAAAUUGACGGAAGGGCACCACCAGGGGUGGAGCCUGCGGCUUAAUUUGACUCAACACGGGGAAACUC